rnacentral:lncRNA from 1 species
CGGCCGCGCUUCCUGACGCGAGACCCGCGCUCGCCGCCGCCGCCCGCCAGCUCAGGCCGCGAUGACACGGCGCCCGCGGCGGCCCCGAGGCGCCGGGCGGGCCGUUUGCUGACCGGAUCGCGGCUGCCAGCCAGCGUGUCCGCGGUGCCGCCGCCGCCAGGAUGGGCUGCGCCCCGAGCAUCCACAUUUCCGACAACCGAGUGUCGAACCCCAGCGACAGCGACGGCGAGGACGAGGACGUCCGGGUCCCCGCGCUGAGGUCUAGACAGCGAUGGUCGACCCCGCCCGGGCUCGUGGAGCCUCAGCCUCGCGACAGCGGUGCCUCGAAGGUAUCAGUUGCUGAUGUGCAAUUUGGCCCGAUGAGAUUUCAUCAAGACCAGCUUCAGGUACUUUUAGUGUUUACCAAAGAAGAUAGCCAGUGUAAUGGAUUCUACAGGGCAUGUGAAAAAGCCGGGUUUAAGUGCACAGUCACCAAGGAGGUGCAGACUGUCCUUGCCUGUUUCCAGGACAAACUCCAUGACAUCAUCAUCAUAGACCACAGAAAUCCCCGACAGAUGGAUGCGGAGGCAAUGUGCAGGUCUAUCAGAUCAUCAAAAUUAUCAGAAAACACAGUUAUUGUUGGCGUAGUACGCAGGGUGGACAAAGAAGAGGUGUCUUUAAUGCCCUUCCUUGCCGCUGGCUUCACGCGGAGGUAUAUAGAAAACCCCAACGUCAUGGCCUGUUAUAAUGAACUGCUCCAGUUGGCAUUUGGAGAGGUGCGAUCACAGCU